AGUUUGAUCCUGGCUCGAAUGAACGCUGGCGGCAGGCCUAACACAUGCAAGUCGAACGGAGUUAUAUUGUAGCUUGCUAUGGUAUAACUUAGUGGCAGACGGGUGAGUAAUGUAUAGGAACCUACCUAGUAGUACGGAAUAAUUGUUGGAAACGGCAACUAAUACCGUAUACGCCCUACGGGGGAAAAAUUUAUUGCUAUUAGAUGAGCCUAUAUUAGAUUAGCUAGUUGGUGGAGUAAUAGCCUACCAAGGCAAUGAUCUAUAGCUGAUCUGAGAGGAUGAUCAGCCACACUGGAACUGAGAUACGGUCCAGACUCCUACGGGAGGCAGCAGUGGGGAAUAUUGGACAAUGGGCGAAAGCCUGAUCCAGCCAUGCCGCAUGAGUGAAGAAGGCCUUUGGGUUGUAAAGCUCUUUUAGUGAGGAAGAUAAUGACGGUACUCACAGAAGAAGUCCUGGCUAACUCCGUGCCAGCAGCCGCGGUAAUACGGAGAGGGCUAGCGUUAUUCGGAAUUAUUGGGCGUAAAGGGCGCGUAGGCGGAUUAGUAAGUUAAAAGUGAAAUCCCAAGGCUCAACCUUGGAAUUGCUUUUAAAACUGCUAAUCUAGAGAUUGAAAGAGGAUAGAGGAAUUCCUAGUGUAGAGGUGAAAUUCGUAAAUAUUAGGAGGAACACCAGUGGCGAAGGCGUCUAUCUGGUUCAAAUCUGACGCUGAGGCGCGAAGGCGUGGGGAGCAAACAGGAUUAGAUACCCUGGUAGUCCACGCUGUAAACGAUGAAUGUUAAAUAUGGGAAGUUUACUUUCUGUAUUACAGCUAACGCGUUAAACAUUCCGCCUGGGGACUACGGUCGCAAGAUUAAAACUC
rnacentral:rRNA from 1 species